UACGUAGGGUGCGAGCGUUAAUCGGAAUUACUGGGCGUAAAGUGUGCGCAGGCGGCUUCGCAAGUCGAGUGUGAAAUCCCCGAGCUUAACUUGGGAAUUGCGCUCGAAACUACGGAGCUGGAGUGUGGCAGAGGAAGGUGGAAUUCCACGUGUAGCGGUGGAAUGCGUAGAGAUCCGGAAGAACACCGGUGGCGAAGGCGGCCUGCUGGGCAGUGGCUGACGCUGAGGCGCGACAGCGUGGGGAGCAAACAGG
rnacentral:rRNA from 1 species